rnacentral:rRNA from 1 species
UCCACGUUUUCCGCGCCGUAGCUAACGCAUUAAGUGCCCCGCCUGGGGAGUACGGCCGCAAGGCUAAAACUCAAAGGAAUUGACGGGGGCCCGCACAAGCGGCGGAGCAUGCGGAUUAAUUCGAUGCAACGCGAAGAACCUUACCAAGGCUUGACAUGGACCGGACCGCCGCAGAAAUGUGGUUUCCCCUUUGGGGCCGGUUCACAGGUGGUGCAUGGUUGUCGUCAGCUCGUGUCGUGAGAUGUUGGGUUAAGUCCCGCAACGAGCGCAACCCUCGUUCCAUGUUGCCAGCGCGUAAUGGCGGGGACUCAUGGGAGACUGCCGGGG